GGCACAAAAACACUACUUCAAUCCCAAACACACGGUUUAUUUCUCUUCAACCCUAUUGAUCGAUCAUUUCACCAAACUAACUACUCUAAUCUCUGCAUCCCUACUUCUCUGUCGCAUCUCUGCCAGGUACGAUUAAUAUAAUUUGAUCUGCAAUCCCCACCACCAAGAAACCCCACCGCAAACAAACCCACAUCUCAAUCUCCGGCACCGGUGAAGCUGUGCAUGUCAACUAUCAAACAAGUGUUGCGCUUUACUUCCUCAAUUCGCAUUACCAGAAACAGGUUGUUGUUGUGACAUGGAAUCGAAUUCUGGUUCAGAUCGUGAUGAAGACGAAGACGAGAAUAAAUCAAAAAGAGGUCCGACGAUGAUGAAGAAUACAAAUCAUAAAGGGAAACUUGUAAUUUCUUACAACAAUAAAGGUGUCCCAAUUGGAAAAGAAGCAACAAAACUUUCUACUUUUGAGGGGAAGGCAGCAAGAACUAUGGUUCCUAUAACUUAUGCCACUUGGCCCGACGUUGAUGAGAAUACAAAGGAAGAAUUAUGGCAAUAUGUAUUGGCACAUUUUGAAGUUGACCCAAAAAGCCGGACGCAAACUCUUCAAUCAAUUGGGGAUAAGUGGAAAAACUUCAAACAUACUCUAUACCGAGAUCAUAUUGAGACACAAAAGGAUGACC
rnacentral:lncRNA from 1 species